rnacentral:rRNA from 1 species
UUAAUUAUUUUAAAAUAAAAAUUUUUUUUAUAUUUUUAUUAAAUAAAAAGCUUUUUAUUUUUUUUAAAAAAUAAACUUUAUAGGAAAUAUUUUAAUUUUAAAAAAGUAUUAUUAAUUGUUUACCUUUUGUAUUAGGGAUCUUUAAAAAAAAAUAAAUUUUUAUUUUUCUCGAAAUAAAUAGAUCUAAUUAAAAUUUAUUAAAUUUGUUUCAAAAAAUAAGAUUAAAAUUUAAUUAGAAGUGAAAUUCUUUUCAAAAUUUAAGAUAUCUAGUUUUUUAAAAAAAUUAAAAAUUUAUUUGUUAAGUUUUGAAAAUAAUUAUAUAUAAAACAAAUUAUUAUUUUUGGGAUAAGCUAAAAAUAAUCUAAAUGAAUUAAACUUUUUUUAAUAAAAAGAAAUAAAAUAGUUCCUUAAAUUUUAAUAAAUAAUUUCAUUACUAUUUAAAAAAAUUAGUUUUUUAUUUAAUAAAAAUAAUUUACUUUUUAAAUAAAAAUGAAUAUAUUAGUAAAAUAUAAUUUUUUUAUAUAAAAUUUUAAAAUUUUAAAAAAAUUGUAAAUUAAAUUUAAAGAAUUCAGCAAAUAGUUUUUUUGACUGUUUAAUAAAAACAAUUCAUUUAGAAGUUUUUGAAAUAAAUGAAAAUUCUGCUCAAUGAUUAUAUUUUAAAUUGCUGUAGUAUUUUGACUAUACAAAGGUAUUGUAAUAAGAUUUUAAUUGAAUGCUAAGAGAAUGAAUUAACAAAAAAAUUCUUUUUUAAAUUUAAAAAUUAAAGUUAUUUUUAUUUGUGAAGAAACAAUAAUUUAAAUUAAGGACAAGAAGACCCUAAGAAUUUUAACUUUUUUAUUUAAAAAAGUUUAAUUGGGGAGAUUAAUAAAAAUUAAAAACUUUAUUUUUUAAAAAAAUGAACCAUUAAUAAUGGUUAUAUGAAAAAAAUACUCUAGGGAUAACAGCGUAAUAAUUUUUGAUAGUUCUUAUAGACAAAAUAGUUUGCGACCUCGAUGUUGGAUUAGGAUUCUUAUUUAAUGAAGAAGUUAAAUAAAGAAGUUUGUUCAACUUUUAAAUUCCUACAUGAUCUGAGUUUAGACCGAUGAGAAUCAGGUCAGUUUCUAUCUUAAUUAAUAUAAAUAAUUAAAAAUUAGUACGAAAGGAAUAUUUUUAAGAAAUUAUUUUUUUAAUCUUACAGUUUUUGCAUCAAUUUUUGGAAUU